UACGUAGGGUGCGAGCGUUGUCCGGAAUUAUUGGGCGUAAAGAGCUCGUAGGUGGUUUGUCGCGUUGUUCGUGAAAACCGGGGGCUUAACCCUCGGCGUGCGGGCGAUACGGGCAGACUUGAGUACUGCAGGGGAGACUGGAAUUCCUGGUGUAGCGGUGGAAUGCGCAGAUAUCAGGAGGAACACCGGUGGCGAAGGCGGGUCUCUGGGCAGUAACUGACGCUGAGGAGCGAAAGCGUGGGGAGCAAACAGG
rnacentral:rRNA from 1 species